AUUCUUAUGGCAGAUUAAUGCAUUAGAUUUAGAAUCUAUCAAUUCUU
rnacentral:tRNA from 1 species